GCCUUGAAUUAUAAUUACC
rnacentral:snRNA from 1 species